AUUUUUAAUAAUUAAGUUUAUAAAAUUUAUAGAGUUAACAAAAAUUAGUGAUAUUUUUGAUUAGAACUUACUAACUUUAUUAUGAAUAUUAAGACUAAAAAAUAAAGAUGGUAUGAAAAAAUUCUAUAUUACAUAUCAAACUAAAAGGAUUGAGCGAAUAGAGAGAAAAAAAAUAAAAUAUCAAAUUUUAGUUAAGAUAAAAGAAAGAUAUACAUUAAAGAUGGAUCUAUAUCAAGAAAUGUUAUAUGAAGGAAAACUUUGGCAAUCAAGAAAUCACAAAAUCACAUAAAAUUAAUAAUUAAAAAAAUUAAAUAUUAUAUUAGGUAAUGAGCUAAAAAAUUAGAUUUCUUAGAAGUCUAAAAAUUCCAAAGGAAUAAGCUAUUGAAGACAACAUAUUUAUAGAAUACAUAAAUGAAAAGAAGAAGAAGAAAUAAAGAAAAAAAUUGAUAG
rnacentral:lncRNA from 1 species